UGACGACUCAAAUGCUGUAGGAGCAACGGCGUGGAUCUUCGGUUUUACGGGAGAUGACUCUAUUGAGAUGGAUUUCUUCACCAUGCUUUGGGUGUUUCAACACUGUCCGAAAAGCACUUGUCCGGCGCACUGCUCGCAAGAAUGUCCAUGAAAAAGCGAAGGAGGAAGAAACACGGUGGAGUUUAGCAACCUUGUGCCAUCGGAUAAAGCAAAGGAGUAGCAUGGAUGAAAUAUGAGUUAAUAAAGUUACUCUUUUCAUUCGUA